CUGGUUGAUCCUGCCAGUAGUCAUAUGCUUGUCUCAAAGAUUAAGCCAUGCAUGUCUAAGUGCAAGCCGUCCUGUACGGUGAAACCGCGAAAGGCUCAUUAAAUCAGUUAUGGUUCCUUAGAUCGUACCCACGUUACAUGGAUAACUGUGGUAAUUCUAGAGCUAAUACAUGCCCACAGAGCUCCGACCAGCGUCGCAGUCCGGCGCGCGGUUCGUCCGCGGCAGUCGCCUGCACGUUCGGAAGGAGCGCUCUUAUUAGAUCAAAACCG
rnacentral:rRNA from 1 species